rnacentral:lncRNA from 1 species
AUGGAAAUCAGUCCUUCCCUGUCGGCUCCCCCCAUUUUGGGGGCCUGAUAGUACAGUCCAAGUAGAGUGGAGCUUUAAGCCCUGAAGCUUCCUAGGAGCUAAGAACUGGGCUGUGCCUACCUGGGAGCCAGGAGGCUUGACUUUGCUCAUACAUGUGCCAUUGCACAAUUCAAUGGAAAAGGAUUCAGAAGCUUGAGAAGUCCUCACUAUAUGCAGGCUGUUGGAAAAUUCUGUUUAAAUACUGUGUUUUCACUUUUUCAUAUUUUCUUUCACCUUUGGCUCUGUCCUUGGUUCUAGUCUUUCAGGGCUACCCUAUGUCUGGCUAUGGUGGCAGCUCAGAGCAGACUUGCAUUAUUGUCCUUUAUCUUUUAGCACAGCUGGACUUAGGCGUCUCUAAACUCUUGAAGGUCUCUCAGGAGAGGGAAGCAUGGUGUUUUCUUCCCUUGGCACAGAGGAAGGGGCUACCUGGUUGCUUGGGAAUAGGGAUGGUAAUAAUGGUCCACCUGGGGACAUGGGGGAAGAGGAAGAAAGUUUAACCUCUGGUGCCUGUGUCCUGUCCAUUUGUUAACACGGCAGAAAACAGGUUGGCUGGCUGGUUUGGGCAUUAAGGAAACCACAGGUGAAUGCCAUGUUGCCCUGAAGGUGUAGGAUUAAGUGGGUCAAAAUUUUAGUAACCUUUCCAGGGCUCUAAGGAGAAUGCUUUACAUGGAAAACUUAGAAGAGAUGAAAGGUGUGGUCUGGGUCAUUAUUUUUCUGAGAUCCAGAGAGACUACGUUUAUGUAGGCCCAGGAAGGCUGUGUUCAAGUUUCGGAUUGAGCAAUGUCGUAUGUGAGGAUCUUUGAGACUAGUUGCAAAAAAUGACUUUCAUUACAAACAAGGCAUUUAUUAGUUCCUCCUUCUCACUUAAUGGAUGCCAGUCAUUCAUUUGUUCUCUUUCACUUGACUUAAAUAUGUAUUGAGCAUUUACCAUGUGCACAGCUCUGAAAAUGGUGAGAAAAAGUUUAGGAGUUGCUGCAUGAAGUUUUUAAUUACUGCUAAUUUAACUCUUCUGUAACUUUAUUGAGCCAGUCUAAUUCCAUGCAGAAACUGGUUUUAAUAUUAGAAAAAUAGGCAAAGAAUUGCUAAUUCCGACGUUUGAAAGCCAAAAGAAGAGCACAUUGUUGCAAUCAUGAACAGGAACAAUACACAGUUUCAAAUACAUAAAACCAAUUGAAAAUAGCAGGGCACUCUCCUUGGUGCUGAAAUGAAUUUCUUCACCUCCUAUUAACUUGUAAGACAUUUUAACCUCAUGGACAUUUUGCUGACUGAUAGGAUGCUACUGGAACUGGAACAGUUUUGACCUGCUGAAUCAUGGGGAAAAUAAAAGAUGAAGUGGAGAUCAAUAAAAUUAUUUCUUGAACAGGAAGAUUAGAAAUUAUAUUUCCUAUCUUUGAACAGGUCUGUGACUAUGACACAGCAAGAGAGCAAUAUGGAAGUUGGCAGGGUCUGGAAAUAAAUAACCAUUUUCUCUCUAUAUAUAGGCAUUUCCCACUUUAAAUGUAACAGUUAAUCACCUCUCACUGGAGUAGUUAUCACUCAUGAGGUGAAGGAUCUUCAGCAUGUCUGUGUGACUAAUAUUUUCAAAGUAUUUCUCUUCUCCCCACCACACCCUUUCCCCUCAGGCUGUGUGUCAUCUCUACACAUUCUUCAGCUUCCUUGGAGAACAAGGGCCCUAAGUCAUGGCAUUAGUUUCUUUAACAACUGCAGUUGGCUGCUGAAUGAAAUCGAUUGCACUUUUGAUGACUAUGAGGAAAACAAAACACUCAUUCUACUGCCCUAAGGGUCACAUAUGUGACUCUUUUCUAUUUCCGAUUUUCUAGGUGUUAGCCACCUAACUUCAGUUAUGAAUGAUUUUUAAAUAAUGUCAAACA